rnacentral:rRNA from 1 species
AUCCCGCCGGACCCUAUUGCUAUCGGGGUGAGACUAANCCAUGCGAGUUGAGCGCUCCUUAGCCAUGUUGGGAGAGCAGCGAACGGCUCAGUAACACGUAGUUAAUCUGCCCUUGGGAAGGAGAUAACCCUGGGAAACUGGGGCUAAUAUCCUAUAGUUGAAGAUGCCUGGAAUGGCUCUCCAUCUAAAGGUUCUUAGAAACAUGCUUCUAAGGAUACCCAAGGAUGAGACUGCGUCCGAUCAGGCAGUUGGCGGGGUAACGGCCCACCAAACCUAUAACCGGUACGGGCCCUGAAAGGGGGAGCCCGGAGAUGGGAACUGGGACAAGGUCCCAGGCCCUACGGGGCGCAGCAGGCGCGAAACCUUCACAAUGCGCGAAAGCGUGAUGGGGUUACCCCGAGUGCUGUCCGUGAGGAUAGCUUUUCCCCAGUGUAAGGAGCUGGGGGAAUAAAGGGGGGGCAAGUCUGGUGUCAGCCGCCGCGGUAAUACCAGCCCCCUGAGUGAUAGGGACAACUAUUUAGCCUAAAGCGUCCGUAGCCGGCUUAGCAAGUCUUUCGUCAAAUCUGACGACUUAAUCGUCAGGCCGCGGAAGAUACUGCU